rnacentral:rRNA from 1 species
GAUGAACGCUGGCGGCGUGCCUAACACAUGCAAGUCGAGCGAUUUACUUCGGUAAAGAGCGGCGGACGGGUGAGUAACGCGUGGGUAACCUGCCCUGUACACACGGAUAACAUACCGAAAGGUAUGCUAAUACGAGAUAAUAUGCUUUUAUCGCAUGGUAGAAGUAUCAAAGCUUUUGCGGUACAGGAUGGACCCGCGUCUGAUUAGCUAGUUGGUAAGGUAACGGCUUACCAAGGCGACGAUCAGUAGCCGACCUGAGAGGGUGAUCGGCCACAUUGGAACUGAGACACGGUCCAAACUCCUACGGGAGGCAG